CGUUUAUUGGCGAUAGUGCAGGACGAGAAGUAUGAGUCUGGACUAUGGGCUGUCAAAGCGAAGCUGAUAGAAAUGACAGGGAAAGCUCUUGAAGCUAUCGGGUAUGGAAAUGUGGUGCUUCCGGCCGUGAACAGGGUGCAGUUCCUGAGGACAUGGCUUCCGUAUAUGAGGAAGAUGAAGGACAAACUGGACUCAAAAGCUGUAGACGAUGAGGGGUUUCCUUACAAACCGGACAACGAUCUGUGCCAGAAUAUCGAG
rnacentral:misc_RNA from 1 species